GGGGACUGAACAUGCAGCUCUCUGCAUAUUUCACGAGAUCUUUGGGACGAGGGAGGCGACUAGCCAAACCAAGUUCGUAUGCUUUGGCAGCUACAUUUGCUGCAAUCUGAGCAGAUAUCUUUCUAAUAUUAGCAAAGGGAGGAUAGAUCAACCCUUUGUCGAAAUGCUCCUGGGUAACCUGCUGGGCCAGGGCUUCAGAGGCUGCGAGAAGCAUUUCAUCAUGCACACGUAUUGCUCCUGAUAUCACCAGUCCCAGUCCGAGUCCAGGGAAUAUGUAGCAAUUAUUCGACUGGCCAGGCACAAAAGUCUUUCCAUUAUACUCCACUGGAUCAAAGGGGCUCCCGCUAGCAAAAAUUGCUCGACCCUUGCUCCAUGUAUA
rnacentral:misc_RNA from 1 species